AUCCAAACCAUCUUGUGCCAAAAGUCACCAAAACGGUACCGUUUACUCCUCACAAGACUUCCACAAAGCCCCGUUCCAUUGCAAACUGAUAUUAUUAUUCAGAUGAAAAGAAAAUAAGUACAACAAAAUGGUGCUUAAACCCCCCUACAAAUUUCUUGGCCCAUAAUUUUCAUUUCUAAAGAUACCCAGUUUGUUAUUUUAGUCCCUUUACUUGUCAUAUUUUGUCAAAGUUAGUCCUAAUACUAAAAUGCAAGUAUCCAGGUUUCUCUUGAACUCAAUCAAGGAUCCAUGUAAAAGGUUUACCCCACCUAAGUGCUUCCAUUCAGCCAGCUGCAUGAGAUCUGCUAGAAAGACUAAUGAUCAGCCUUUAUUAACUGGACCAUCCCCAAGGACCCCAACAUCAAAAUCUUGGAAACCUUAUAUAUUACCUGGAGCUGUUUUGGGAGGAUUUGGUGGACUGAUCCUUUUUCUUCAUUAUAAUGAUGAAAGGAGAGCAAUUCCAAAAGGUCAAGGCGAGAAAUUUGAAAGAAGUGCAAACCAAGGGCCAAUCAUUGGCGGCCCAUUCAGUUUGGUUGAUACAGAAGGUCAUUUGGUGACAGAGCGCAACUUGCUGGGAAACUGGGUUCUUCUCUACUUUGGUUAUACUUCAUCUCCUGAUGUUGGUCCAGCAGAAGUCCAAAAGAUGGCCAAAACUAUUGAUAUUCUAGAGUCAAAACAGGAUCAAAAGAUUCUCCCAGUAUUUGUCACAAUUGAUCCUCAACGCGACACACCUUCGCACCUUCGAGCUUAUCUUAAAGAGUUUGACCCAAGAAUAAUGGGAUUAACUGGACCAGUUGCUGCUGUUAGACAGAUGACACAGGAAUACCGAGUUUACUUUAAGAAGGUUGAUGAAGAAGGAGAUGAUUAUCUGGUAGAAUCUUCCCACAACAUGUAUCUGGUGAAUCCGAAAAUGGAAGUAGUUAGAUGCUUUGGUGUGGAAUACAGUGGGGAGGAACUGGCCGAUGCAAUAGUUAAGGAGCUAAAGAAACCCGAGACAUAGCAAUAUUCGGGGUGGAGUUGGCAGAGUGGAGCCAGACGUUCAAUUUUUGCCUAUUGUCGUGGAGAUUUAAAGACGUUUUGCAGCAGCUGAGUUCGUCGAGGGAUACGAGGGAAGUGGUCAAUGGAAGUGAAAACCUGAAAAAGAAAAUCCAGGCAAUGUUAAACACAUGCAGACUGGGAGCUUUUUACAUGAGAAUGAUUGAUAUGCUCCAUUGUUGAAUUUUGAGUCCCUAACUCCCAUCUUUUUCACUGAAUUCCUUGAAUUUCCAUAGCAAGUAUUUAUGUGCCAAAAAAGAUAGUACUUUAUUAUUUUAGAGCGUUGAACAAUUUAAUAUUUGACUAUAAUUUUCUUU